rnacentral:rRNA from 1 species
GACGAACGCUGGCGGCGUGCUUAACACAUGCAAGUCGAACGGAAAGGCCCCUUUUGGGGUACUCGAGUGGCGCACGGGUGAGUAACACGUGAGUAACCUUCCCUUGACUUCGGGAUAACUUCAGGAAACUGGGGCUAAUACCGGCUAGGAAUCCUUGCUGCAUGGUGGGGGUUGGAAAGCUUCGGCGGUUUUGGAUGGACUCGCGGCUUAUCAGCUUGUUGGUGGGGUAGUGGCUUACCAAGGCGUUGACGGGUAGCCGGCCUGAGAGGGCGACCGGCCACAUUGGGACUGAGAUACGGCCCAGACGCCUACGGGAGGCAGCAGUGGGGAAUAUUGAACAAUGGGCGGAAGCCUGAUGCAGCAACGCCGCGUGCGGGAUGACGGCCUUCGGGUUGUAAACCGCUUUCAGCAGGGGCGAAGCUUGUGGUGACGGUACCUGCAGAAGAAGCACCGGCUAACUACGUG